AGUGGACGCUGGCGGUAGGCCUAACACAUGCAAGUCGAACGGCAGCACAGUAAGAGCUUGCUCUUACGGGUGGCGAGUGGCGGACGGGUGAGGAAUACAUCGGAAUCUACUUUUUCGUGGGGGAUAACGUCGGGAAACUUACGCUAAUACCGCAUACGACCUACGGGUGAAAGCAGGGGAUCUUCGGACCUUGCGCGAUUGAAUGAGCCGAUGUCGGAUUAGCUAGUUGGCGGGGUAAAGGCCCACCAAGGCGACGAUACGUAGCUGGUCUGAGAGGAUGAUCAGCCACACUGGAACUGAGACACGGUCCAGACUCCUACGGGAGGCAGCAGUGGGGAAUAUUGGACAAUGGGCGCAAGCCUGAUCCAGCCAUACCGCGUGGGUGAAGAAGGCCUUCGGGUUGUAAAGCCCUUUUGUUGGGAAAGAAAAGCAGCAGGUUAAUACCCUGCUGUUCUGACGGUACCCAAAGAAUAAGCACCGGCUAACUUCGUG
rnacentral:rRNA from 1 species